GAAAUAAACCUGAUGAGUUGCUGCUGGUUCUCCAGGGAGCAUGUGCACACUUGUCAUCUUUAUAUCUCCACCUGUGCACCUUUUGUAGACCUGGAUAUCUCUCUGAAUGCUAGUCGUUCAGGAUUGAGGAUUGAUGUUAUGUCUCUCCUUACAUUUCCAGGCCUAUGUUUCUUCAUAUACCCCAAUGUAUGUCAUCGAAUGUAAUCAAUGGCCUUUGUGCCUAUAAACCUAUACAACUUUCAGCAACGGAUCUCUUGGCUCU
rnacentral:misc_RNA from 1 species